CUUCGAUAAUACUAAGCUCGCUAAUUCAUCGAAGGUGGGAAUGCAAUAAAUUUAUUCAACAUACAUAAUCAUGAUUGCUUAUCUUUACAUUGAUGUCUCGCACAUACAGAGUAUGACCAAGGAAGCAACUUCUACUUCCUUAAAUGAAGAAGCAUCUAAGAACCAGGUAAAAAGGAAAGAUAUGCAAUCUGCAACUACCUUUGAUAAAACCAAGUGUGCUACCACAUCAAAGGGUACUCCAGGUGACCGACCAACAGAUGAGUCAAUAUUGGUAAAAUCAAAAUUUUCUUACCAUUAUUGUGCCCACAUUACAUAAGUAUUUACUGAUACACUUGAGCAUGUUUACU